AACGACUCUCGGCAACGGAUAUCUCGGCUCUCGCAUCGAUGAAGAACGUAGCGAAAUGCGAUACUUGGUGUGAAUUGCAGAAUCCCGUGAACCAUCGAGUCUUUGAACGCAAGUUGCGCCCGAAGCCACUAGGCCGAGGGCACGCCUGCCUGGGUGUCACGC
rnacentral:rRNA from 1 species